CGGGUGCGUAAUACGUGAGAAUCUGCCCUUAGGAGGAGUAUAACUGCUGGAAACGGCUGCUAACACUCCAUAUGUCGAGAGAUGAAAUAAUUUAUUGCCUAAGGAUGAGCUCACGCCUGAUUAGCUUGUUGGUGAGGUAAUGGCUCACCAAGGCCACGAUCAGUAGCUGGUUUGAGAGAACGAUCAGCCACACUGGGACUGAGACACGGCCCAGACUCCUCCGGGAGGCAGCAGUGAGGAAUUUUCCGCAAUGGGCGAAAGCCUGACGGAGCAAUACCGCGUGAGGGAUGAAGGAUUUUGGUCUGUAAACCUCUUUUCUCAAGAAAGAAGUUCUGACGGUACUUGAGGAAUAAGCAUCGGCUAACUCCGUGCCAGCAGCCGCGGUAAUACGGGGGAUGCAAGCGUUAUCCGGAAUCAUUGGGCGUAAAGCGCCUGUAGGUUGUUUAAUAAGUCUGUUGUUAAAGACUAGGGCUCAACCCUAGAAAAGCAAUGGAAACUACUAGACUAGAGUAUGGC
rnacentral:rRNA from 1 species